UACGUAGGGUGCAAGCGUUGUCCGGAAUUAUUGGGCGUAAAGCGUGCGCAGGCGGUUUUGUAAGUCUGUCGUGAAAUCCCCGGGCUCAACCUGGGGAAUGGCGAUGGAGACUGCAAGGCUAGAAUCUGGCAGAGGGGGGGUAGAAUUCCACGUGUAGCAGUGAAAUGCGUAGAGAUGUGGAGGAACACCGAUGGCGAAGGCAGCCCCCUGGGUCAAGAUUGACGCUCAUGCACGAAAGCGUGGGGAGCAAACAGG
rnacentral:rRNA from 1 species